GGACGAACGCUGGCGGCGUGCCUAAUACAUGCAAGUUGAGCGAUGAAGAUUGGUGCUUGCACCAAUUUGAAGAGCAGCGAACGGGUGAGUAACGCGUGGGGAAUCUGCCUUUGAGCGGGGGACAACAUUUGGAAACGAAUGCUAAUACCGCAUAACAACUUUAAACAUAAGUUUUAAGUUUGAAAGAUGCAAUUGCAUCACUCAAAGAUGAUCCCGCGUUGUAUUAGCUAGUUGGUGAGGUAAAGGCUCACCAAGGCGAUGAUACAUGGCCGACCUGAGAGGGUGAUCGGCCACAUUGGGACUGAGACACGGCCCAAACUCCUACGGGAGGCAGCAGUAGGGAAUCUUCGGCAAUGGACGAAAGUCUGGCCGAGCAACGCCGCGUGAGUGAAGAAGGUUUUCGGAUCGUAAAACUCUGUUGGUAGAGAAGAACGUUGGUGAGAGUGGAAAGCUCAUCAAGUGACGGUAACUACCCAGAAAGGGACGGCUAACUACGUG
rnacentral:rRNA from 1 species